rnacentral:rRNA from 1 species
GACGAACGCUGGCGGCGUGCUUAACACAUGCAAGUCGAACGGUGAUGUGAGGAGCUUGCUCCUUGCGGAUCAGUGGCGAACGGGUGAGUAACACGUGAGCAAUCUGCCCCGGACUCUGGGAUAAGCGUUGGAAACGACGUCUAAUACCGGAUAUGACGCGCGAAGGCAUCUUCGUGUGUGGAAAGUUUUUCGGUCUGGGAUGAGCUCGCGGCCUAUCAGCUUGUUGGUGGGGUGAUGGCCCACCAAGGCGACGACGGGUAGCCGGCCUGAGAGGGUGACCGGCCACACUGGGACUGAGACACGGCCCAGACUCCUACGGGAGGCAGCAGUGGGGAAUAUUGCACAAUGGGCGCAAGCCUGAUGCAGCAACGCCGCGUGAGGGAUGACGGCCUUCGGGUUGUAAACCUCUUUUGGCAGGGAAGAAGCGAAAGUGACGGUACCUGCAGAAAAAGCACCGGCUAACUACGUGCCAGCAGCCGCCGUAACAC